rnacentral:rRNA from 1 species
CGGGGGGCAGCUGGCGGCGUGCUAUACAUGCAAGUCGAGCGGACAGAUGGGAGCUUGCUCCCUGAUGUUAGCGGCGGACGGGUGAGUAACACGUGGGUAACCUGCCUGUAAGACUGGGAUAACUCCGGGAAACCGGGGCUAAUACCGGAUGGUUGUUUGAACCGCAUGGUUCAAACAUAAAAGGUGGCUUCGGCUACCACUUACAGAUGGACCCGCGGCGCAUUAGCUAGUUGGUGAGGUAACGGCUCACCAAGGCAACGAUGCGUAGCCGACCUGAGAGGGUGAUCGGCCACACUGGGACUGAGACACGGCCCAGACUCCUACGGGAGGCAGCAGUAGGGAAUCUUCCGCAAUGGACGAAAGUCUGACGGAGCAACGCCGCGUGAGUGAUGAAGGUUUUCGGAUCGUAAAGCUCUGUUGUUAGGGAAGAACAAGUACCGUUCGAAUAGGGCGGUACCUUGACGGUACCUAACCAGAAAGCCACGGCUAACUACGUGCCAGCAGCCCCGCGGUAAA